AAAAGCUAUGUCUAAGAUACUGAAUGUAACAAAGACACCGAACUAAUCUCAUUUUCCAGUGAUACCAUGGAGGUGCUAACAGUUUUCUUCUCCGGGUUGGUUUCCAUUUAGCAGAUCUAGACCUAAUCUUUGGUUAGGGCUUUUCACAGUCUUUUUUGGGUAUUGUUUUACCAAUUCCUUGGUCAUCUCUUGUGAACAGAGUGGAGGCACUCCAGAAACCCGAUAUGGCUUGCUACAAGUUAAAGAUGGCCUCUCGUGAAGCUGGUGUGAUAUUCAUAAAAAAGACUUUGAGCUGAGGGAGUUGAUAAUAGAGACAUGUGUGCUGGUGUUGCAUUGAUUGACGAAGUACACAAGACAAUUGUGGUAUGACUAUAUGGCCC